UACGGAGGGGGCGAGCGUUAUUCGGAAUUAUUGGGCGUAAAGGGCGCGUAGGCGGCUUGAUGUGUCAAAGGUGAAAUCCCUCGGCUCAACUGAGGAACUGCCUUUGAAACUGUCUGGCUUGAGGCCGGGAGAGGGUAGCGGAAUUCCCAGUGUAGCGGUGAAAUGCGUAGAUACUGGGAGGAACACCGGUGGCGAAGGCGGCUAUCUGGACCGGAACUGACGCUGAGGCGCGAAAGCGUGGGUAGCAAACAGG
rnacentral:rRNA from 1 species